UAGGGAAUCUUCCACAAUGGACGCAAGUCUGAUGGAGCAACGCCGCGUGAGUGAAGAAGGUUUUUCGGACCGUAAAGCUCUGUUGUUGGUGAAGAAGGAUAGAGGUAGUAACUGGCCUUUAUUUGACGGUAAUCAACCAGAAAGUCACGGCUAACUACGUGCCAGCAGCCGCGGUAAUACGUAGGUGGCAAGCGUUGUCCGGAUUUAUUGGGCGUAAAGCGAGCGCAGGCGGAAGAAUAAGUCUGAUGUGAAAGCCCUCGGCUUAACCGAGGAAUUGCAUCGGAAACUGUUUUCUGAGUGCAGAAGAGGAGAGUAGAACUCCAUGUGUAGCGGUGGAAUGCGUAGAUAUAUGGAAGAAUACCAGUGGCGAAGGCGGCUCUCUGGUCUGCAACUGACGCUGAGGCUCGAAAGCAUGGUAGCGAACAGGAUUAGAUACCCUGGUAGUCCAUGCCGUAAACGAUGAGUGCUAAGUGUUGGGAGGCUUCCGCCUCUCAGUGCUGCAGCUAACGCAUUAAGCACUCCGCCUGGGGGAGUACGACCGCAAGGUUGAAAC
rnacentral:rRNA from 1 species